AUAACGGUCCUAAGGUAGCGAAAUUCCUUGUCGGGUAAGUUCCGACCCGCACGAAAGGCGUAAUGAUUUGAGCACUGUCUCGACAAUGCAUCCGGUGAAAUUGAAGUACCAGUGAAGAUGCUGGUUACCCGCGCCAGGACGGAAAGACCCCAUGGAGCUUUACUCCAGUUUGAUACUGGGAUUCGGUACUGCAUGUACAGGAUAGGUGGGAGACGAAGAAGGAUGGACGCCAGUCUGUCCGGAGUCGCUGUUGGGAUACCACCCCUGUAGUACUGGGUUUCUAACCAGUUACCAUGAUCUGGUAAUGGGACAAUGUCAGGCGGGGAGUUUGACUGGGGCGGUCGCCUCCGAAAGGGUAUCGGAGGCGCUCAAAGGUUCCCUCAGAAUGGUUGGAAACCAUUCGAAGAGUGCAAAGGCAGAAGGGAGCUUGACUGCGACACCGACGGGUGGAGCAGGUACGAAAGUAGGACUUAGUGAUCCGGUGGUAUAAAGUGGGAUUGCCAUCGCUCAACGGAUAAAAGCUACCCUGGGGAUAACAGGCUUAUCACUCCCAAGAGUUCACAUCGACGGAGUGGUUUGGCACCUCGAUGUCGGCUCAUCGCAUCCUGGGGCUGUAGCAGGUCCCAAGGGUUGGGCUGUUCGCCCAUUAAAGCGGUACGCGAGCUGGGUUCAGAACGUCGUGAGACAGUUCGGUCCCUAUCCGGCGCGGGCGUAGGAUAUCUGAGGGGAGCUGGCCUUAGUACGAGAGGACCGGGCUGGACGGACCACUGGUGCAUCAGCUGGAUACCAAAUCCAUAGCUGGGUAGCCAAGUCCGGAAGGGAUAAACGCUGAAGGCAUCUAAGCGUGAAGCCCCCCCCAAGAUGAGAUGUCCCUGUCUAUAAGACAGUAAGACCCCUGAAAGAGUAUCAGGUAGAUAGGGCAGAGGUGGAAGCACGGUAACGUGUGGAGCUGACUGUUACUAAUCGGUCGAGGGCUUGACCAA
rnacentral:rRNA from 1 species